GUUUGUUUGAGAAAGAGGGGGGACGAAUGAUAUUAGGAAAAUUGAAGAAGACGAAGAACUAUUGAUUUUUAGUUUUAUUGAUAUGUUUUGAUUUGUUUUAGAUGAGAACACGAAUGAUUAGGAGAA